rnacentral:rRNA from 1 species
CGUUCGUUUAAGGGCGUGUAGUGGAUACCUUGGAACUGGAAAGCCGAUGAAGGACGUGAUAUACUGCGAUAAGUUUCGGGGAGCUGUAUGUAAGCUUUGAUCCGAAAAUUUCC